GACGAACGCUGGCGGCGUGCUUAACACAUGCAAGUCGAACGGAAAGGCCCUGCUUUUGUGGGGUGCUCGAGUGGCGAACGGGUGAGCAACACGUGAGUAACCUGCCCUUGACUUUGGGAUAACUUCAGGAAACUGGGGCUAAUACCGGAUAGGAGCUCCUGCUGCAUGGUGGGGGUUGGAAAGUUUCGGCGGUUGGGGAUGGACUCGCGGCUUAUCAGCUUGUUGGUGGGGUAGUGGCUUACCAAGGCUUUGACGGGUAGCCGGCCUGAGAGGGUGACCGGCCACAUUGGGACUGGGAUACGGCCCAGACUCCUACGGGAGGCAGCAGUGGGGAAUAUUGCACAAUGGGCGGAAGCCUGAUGCAGCAACGCCGCGUGCGGGAUGACGGCCUUCGGGUUGUAAACCGCUUUCGCCUGUGACGAAGCGUGAGUGACGGUAAUGGGUAAAGAAGCACCGGCUAACUACGUG
rnacentral:rRNA from 1 species